CAGAGGUCCCAAGCGUUGUUCGGAUUCACUGGGCGUAAAGGGUGCGUAGGUGGCGAGGAAAGUCGGAUGUGAAAUCUCCAAGCUCAACUUGGAAAUGGCAUUGGAAACUACCUUGCUAGAGGUUUGGAGGGGGACGUGGAAUUCUCGGUGUAGCAGUGAAAUGCGUAGAUAUCGAGAGGAACACCAGUGGCGAAGGCGAGUCCCUGGACAACACCUGACACUGAGGCACGAAAGCUAGGGGAGGCAAACAGGAUUAGAUACCCUGGUAGUCCUAGCUGUAAACGGUGCUUGCUUGCUGUAAAAGGAAUCGACCCCUUUUGUGGCGAAGCCAACGCGAUAAGCAAGCCGCCUGGGAAGUACGGUCGCAAGAUUA
rnacentral:rRNA from 1 species